AUUGAACGCUGGCGGCAGGCUUAACACAUGCAAGUCGAACGGAACCUUCGGGUUUAGUGGCGAACGGGUGAGUAAUACCUAGGAAUCUGCCUAUUAGUGGGGGAUAACGGCUCGAAAGGGUCGCUAAUACCGCAUACGUCCUACGGGAGAAAGAGGGGGAUCUUCGGACCUCUUGCUAAUAGAUGAGCCUAGGCCGGAUUAGCUAGUUGGUAGGGUAAAGGCCUACCAAGGCGACGAUCCGUAGCUGGUCUGAGAGGAUGAUCAGCCACACUGGAACUGAGACACGGCCCAGACUCCUACGGGAGGCAGCAGUGGGGAAUUUUGGACAAUGGGCGCAAGCCUGAUCCAGCCAUGCCGCGUGAGUGAAGAAGGCCU
rnacentral:rRNA from 1 species